rnacentral:misc_RNA from 1 species
GUGAAUCAUCGAAUUUUUGAACACAAAUUGCACUCUCCGGUUUUCCGGGAGAGUAUGCCUGUUUGAGGGUCAUCCUAAAAAAAAAUCGACAUUGUUUCUGUUUUAUGGUGACUUUCGUCGCAGAUGUGUUAUCUUAAAUCUCGGUUUAAUCGACUUAAAAUUGUUUGUUAUGAUUCUAAGAAUGAUUCUAAGAUUUUUCUUGUACGUUAUAUGGAUC